rnacentral:rRNA from 1 species
AUUGAACGCUGGCGGCAGGCUUAACACAUGCAAGUCGAACGGUAACAGGUCUUCGGAUGCUGACGAGUGGCGAACGGGUGAGUAAUGCAUCGGAACGUGCCCAGUCGUGGGGGAUAACGCAGCGAAAGCUGCGCUAAUACCGCAUACGAUCUAUGGAUGAAAGCGGGGGACCGUAAGGCCUCGCGCGAUUGGAGCGGCCGAUGUCAGAUUAGGUAGUUGGUGGGGUAAAGGCCCACCAAGCCAACGAUCUGUAGCUGGUCUGAGAGGACGACCAGCCACACUGGGACUGAGACACGGCCCAGACUCCUACGGGAGGCAGCAGUGGGGAAUUUUGGACAAUGGGCGCAAGCCUGAUCCAGCAAUGCCGCGUGCAGGAAGAAGGCCUUCGGGUUGUAAACUGCUUUUGUACGGAACGAAACGGCUCUCUCUAAUACAGAGGGCUAAUGACGGUACCGUAAGAAUAAGCACCGGCUAACUACGUGCCAGCAGCCGCGGUAACAC